CUCGUAGGUGGUUUGUCGCGUUGUUCGUGAAAACUCACAGCUCAACUGUGGGCGUGCGGGCGAUACGGGCAGACUGGAGUACUGCAGGGGAGACUGGAAUUCCUGGUGUAGCGGUGGAAUGCGCAGAUAUCAGGAGGAACACCGGUGGCGAAGGCGGGUCUCUGGGCAGUAACUGACGCUGAGGAGCGAAAGCGUGGGGAGCGAACA
rnacentral:rRNA from 1 species